rnacentral:rRNA from 1 species
GCCGAUAGAACAUACAUUGGAUGCACCAGUUCUAAAUGGACCACUCAAGUUAAGAAACGUUGCGCGUGGUUAGUCUCCAAAUGGGUGACCAUCUGGGCAACCGCGUGCUGCUGGCU